AUGCUCUGCUCCUCCCUCCCCUCCGGCAAGAUCCAGCGCGCGGCCUCCAUCUCCUCGAUCCAGAUCGAGGCACCCUGCCGCCCCGCCUUCGUCUCCCUCCGUCUCCCACCCGAUGGAGGCCGCGGUGAGGGGAAGCCGAGGCGGCUUCCCCUCCCAUCGCCGCACCACUCGUCCGCUAGCUCCCCACGCAGGCGGAUUCGGAUAGAGGCGGCCGUCGCCGGGCACGAUGACUCCACGGACCGCUCCUCCGCACCCUUCUCCCCCUUCGCCGAGAAGCUGGACUGCGCCGGCGGCGCCGACUCCCCCACCCCCAAGAAGGCGCCCCGCAAGGUCCCCAAGACGCCCCACAAGGUGCUGGACGCGCCGUCCCUGCAGGACGACUUCUACCUGAACCUCGUCGACUGGUCCUCGCAGAACAUGCUCGCCAUCGGCCUCGGCACCUGCGUCUACCUCUGGUCCGCAUCCAGCUGCAAGGUUACCAAGCUAUGCGAUCUGGGGCCGAGGGACAGCGUCUGCGCCGUGCACUGGACGCGCGAGGGCUCCUACCUCGCCGUCGACACCAACCUUUUAAAUACUAUACAUUUCAGUAGUGCUAUAUGA
rnacentral:rRNA from 1 species